CUGCCUCUGCCUCCCGUGCUGGGAUUAAAGGGAUGCGCCACUACCACCUGGCUCCAGUAAGCACUCCUAGCAAAUGAACCAUAUGUUUAUCCACCUCCAGUAGUGGUUAUUUUUUUCCUUUUAAAUAAGCUUAGUGGUACUGGGUUGAUGUUCAGUUGGUAGAUGCUUCCCUGCAUGUACAUGUACAAAGCCCUGAGUUCACUUCCCAGCCCUGCAUCCCUUCACUUGUAGGCUGGGAGGGUCUCCUUCCAUCUCUUCAGUUCCUGACUCAAGCCUCUAAUGUGCAAAGGUUCCUUUCACUCUCUACCUCUAUGCCAUUCAGUGUGAUAGUUAUGUAGAUGUAAAUUCGUUAAAAUGGCCUAAAAUUGGACCCCCAGGUCCUCAGAGGCAGUAGGUACAUUGCAGAUGAUCAUGAGUCAUUUGGGUCAUUCAUUUACUGUCACUCAUGGCUGGAAGUUAUCUUGGGUCCACUGCCUGUGUUGGGUCAGUGACAGUUUAUUUAACACCUCUUUUUGUGGCCUUUUGUUUGCUCUAAUCCUGUGCUGCCUGGGUAGUCUUGGUAGUAGUUUGGCUAUGGUUCCCCUUCACUGAGGCUGUUGGCCAAGCAUUGUUUAUAUGAGAUGAUGGUGUUGUAUUUUUUUUAGUUGACUUAUUUUUAUUUUGUAUAUAUUGGUAUUUUGCAUGCAUGUAUGUCUGCAUAUAUAUCUGUGUGAGGGUGUCAGAUCCCCUAGAACUGGAGUUACAGACAGAUGUGAGCUGCCAUGUAGGUGCUGGGAAUUGAACCUGGGUCCUCUGGGAGAGCAGCCAAUGCUUUUAGCUGCUGAGCCAUCUCUCUAGCCUGGUUUUGUAUCUCUUGCAGUAGGAUUUAGGAUACUUACAAAAUACUAAUGGUUCUUGGUGGUCAGGAAAGAGGCAGCCAAUUAACAAUGUUAGAAAAUCAGACACAAAUUUUAUCAAGUCUUGGUAAGAUAGUUUGAAGUCUCUCUCUCUCUCUCUCUCUCUCUCUCUCUCUCUCUCUCUCUCACACACACACACACACACACACACACACUUUUAGACUUGGUUGAAAAGUUAAUUUGGUAACUCAGAUUUUCUGUGUUUUUUGUUUGUUUUUUUUUUUUUUCUCCUGAGACAGGGUUUCUCUGGCUUUGGAGGCUGUCCUGGAACUAGCUCUUGUAGACCAGGCUGGUCUCGAACUCACAGAUCCACCUGCCUCUGCCUCCCAAGUGCUGGGAUUAAAGGCGUGUGCCACAAAUGCCCAGCUGAUUUCCUGUGUUUUAAAGUUACCAUGUGAACUACUUACUUCGGUGUCCUAGGGUGUUCUUUGUUCUCUCUCAAAUUAGUUAACUAAUGAUGUUCAUUCCUUGUUAUCUUGGUGGGGUUCUUUUAUGACCUAUGAUGAAAUUGCUCCUUAAAUCUUCUAGGAGAGGCAGGCAUUGGUGACAGACACAUGCCUUUAAUCCCAGCACUCGGGAGGCAGAGGAUGGCGGAUCUCUGUGAGUUCAAGGCCAGCCUGGUCUACCGAGCGAGUUCCAGGGCAGGCUCCAAAACAAUACAGAGAAACCCUGUCUGGAAAAAAACAAAAAACCAAACCAAAACAAAAUCUGCUAGGAGAGUUACUGUUAGACUUCUCCCUGGCCAUGCUGUGUCCUGUGAUUCACAAGAGACAGCCAGCCCUGUGGCACGUACCACUGGCACUUGUAGUGGGCACAGCUUCUGUGUGCCUACAGGUAUGCUUAGGACUUGCAUGUUAACAUUGCCUCCUGCCAGGUAUGAUCACAGUGUGCUCUAUUAUGGAACCUAGAAAGAACUUCAGAAGUUUUUUUUUUUUUUAAACAGGGUUUCUCUGUGUAGUCGCGACUGUCCUGGAACUAGCUUUGUAGACCAGGCUGGCUGAGAUCUCGGAGAUCCUGCUGCCUGUGGGUGCUGGGAUGAAAGGUGUACACCACCACUGCCCCAGCUAGAAACAAUAGAAGAUUAAAAAUAGUUAAUAAAAUGUAGCCCUGCCUGCCUGACAUCCACUUUUGCCUGUUGAGAUAUCACAAUUGCUUCUCAUAACUCCUGAAGUUCUAGUUGGUAACUUUAAUUAUGAUCAUGUUCCACUUUCGAAUCAGUUUUGGUUGUGUGUUUAAUUUUUUGAACGCACGUGCGUGCGUGAGUGCGUGUUAUGUACCAGGACUCAAGUGUGAGGAUCAGAGUGAAGCAUGUCAGAGUCAGUUCUCUCCUUCUAUCUUGUGGGUUCCAGCUAGGCGUCUGACUGAGCCCAUCAGACUUGGUGGCAAGCACCUUCACCCCCUGAGCUGUCUUGCCAGCCCAAAAUAACACAUUUCCAAAGUAUAUUUGCUGUGAUUUCAGAUAUGCAUUAGGAUGUUGAUUCAGCAUUUCCAGGUGACCCUUGGUAACCUCAGGAGUUUGACUUUGUUUUUUGGCAUCUUGUCUAUAAUGGCAUGAAUAGCUUGAGUGUGAUUUCUGCCUUGUCUUGGGCAGCCUAACAAUGGAGACAGGAGCCAGAAUCAUAAACUGCAUGUGUAUAGGGCCCUUGAAUAUAUGUGAAGACAGGAAGCACUUUUUUAAUCUUUUUUUUAAAGAUUUUAUUUAUUAUGUAUACAACAUUCUGCUUCCAUGUAUAUCUAUACACCAGAAGAGGGCACCAGAUCUCAUAACAGAUGGUUGUGAGCCACCAUAUGGGUGCUGGGAAUUGAACUCAGGACCUCUGGAAGAGCAGUCAGUACUCUUAACUACUGAGCCAUCUCUCCAGUCUGCACUUUAUCUUUAUUAAUGCAUGAUUGUAUUUGCUAUUGAUAUUUUAUUGUCUUUUAUGAAAGCAAUUUUGAGGGGGGUCUAAGAAAUGGUUCAUUGAGUAAAAAUCUGAUGAUGUGAGUUAGAUUCCUGGAACCCAGUUGGAGGAGAGAACAGAUCCCCACAAAUUGUCUUCUGACUUCUGUCUGCAUGUGUAUGAAUAUGUGUGUGCGCUUGCUUGUGUAUACACACACACACACACAUACACACACACACACACAUUUUUCCAGUGCUUGGGAUAGAGCCAGGGCCUGGUGUUUUCUGUGCUGAUGAUCUGCCACUGGGUUUAGGUCCUUAGGCCCUGUCAUUUUGUAGUGCAGACUGGCCUUAAACUCGGUCUUUCUGCCUUUGCCUACUGGUACUGGUACUA
ensembl:lncRNA